rnacentral:misc_RNA from 1 species
AAGUCGUAACAAGGUCUCCGUAGGUGAACCUGCGGAGGGAUCAUUACUGAGUGAGGGGCCCUCGGGCUCGACCUCCCACCCUUUGUGAACACAACUUGUUGCUUCGGGGGGCGACCCUGCCGUUUGCGCGGCGAGCGCCCCCGGAGGCCUUCAAACACUGCAUCAUUGCGUCGGAGUUUAAGCAAAUUAAACAAA